GAUGAACGCUGGCGGCGUGCCUAAUACAUGCAAGUCGAGCGAAGCGGGGACGGGUGAGUCACACGUAGCUACCCUCCUAUGAGGAUGGGGUAACUUAGGGAAACCUGAUCUCAAUCGGACCCUUAUAGGUGGAUGCUCGCUGCAUUAGCUAGUUGGUAAGGUAACGGCUUACCAAGGCAACGAUGCGUAGCAGACCUGAGAGGGUGAUCGGCCACACUGGAACUGAGACACGGUCCAGACUCCUACGGGAGGCAGCAGUAGGGAAUCUUCGGCAAUGGGCGAAAGCCUGACGGAGCAACGCCGCGUGAGUGAUGAAGGUCUUCGGAUCGUAAAACUCUGUUAUUAGGGAAGCGGUACCUACUCAGAAAGCCACGGCUAACUACGUGCCAGCAGCCGCGGUAAUAC
rnacentral:rRNA from 1 species